UCGUACUGGUGACCUUGGGAUUCCGGUGCAGCGCCCUAAUCAACUUGACUCUGUAGUUCAGUUGAUUAGGGCGCUGCACCGGAAUCCCAAGGUCACCA